rnacentral:rRNA from 1 species
UUUAUCGAGGGUGCGACGGAGAAGGAUAGUGUGUGCUAGCGAUUGGAAAUGCUAGUCUAAGCGUUUAGGCAGUUACGGUAGGCAAAUCCGCUGUAACGUUAAUGCUGAGGCGUGAUGGGGAAGGCCCUUGAGGCUGAAGUACAUGAUUCCAUGCUUCCAAGAAAAGCAUCUAGAGAGAGAAGUAGUGCCCGUACCGCAAACCGACACAGGUAGAUGAGGAGAGAAUCCUAAGGCCGGCGGAAGAAUUGCAGUUAAGGAACUAGGCAAAUUGACCCCGUAAGUUAGCGAGAAGGGGUGCCUGCGAGAGCAGGCCGCAGAGAAUAGGCCCAAGCAACUGUUUAGCAAAAACACAGGUCUCUGCUAAAGCACAAGCUGAUGUAUAGGGGCUGACGCCUGCCCGGUGCUGGAAGGUUAAGGGGAACACUUAGCGCAAGCGAAGGUGUGAACUUAAGCCCCAGUAAACGGCGGCCGUAACUAUAACGGUCCUAAGGUAGCGAAAUUCCUUGUCAGGUAAGUUCUGACCCGCACGAAUGGCGUAAUGACUUGGGCACUGUCUCAACUGCAAAUCCGGCGAAGUUGUAGUGCGAGUGAAGAUGCUCGCUACCCGCGAUUGGACGGAAAGACCCCGUAGAGCUUUACUGUAGCUUAGCAUUGAAUUCCGGUAUUGUCUGUACAGGAUAGGUGGGAGACUGGGAAACUAGGGCGUCAGCCUUGGUGGAGUCGUCCUUGGGAUACCCCCUGACAGUACUGGGGUUCUAACAGGACGCCAUGAAUCUGGUGACUGGACAUUGUUAGGUGGGCAGUUUGACUGGGGCGGUCGCCUCCUAAAAAGUAACGGAGGCGCCCAAAGGUUCCCUCAGAACGGUCGGAAAUCGUUCGUAGAGUGCAAAGGCAGAAGGGAGCCUGACUGCGAGACCUACAAGCCGAGCAGGGACGAAAGUCGGGCUUAGUGAUCCGGUGGUACCUCGUGGGAGGGCCAUCGCUCAACGGAUAAAAGCUACCUCGGGGAUAACAGGCUGAUCUCCCCCAAGAGUCCACAUCGACGGGGAGGUUUGGCACCUCGAUGUCGGCUCGUCGCAUCCUGGGGCUGUAGUAGGUCCCAAGGGUUGGGCUGUUCGCCCAUUAAAGCGGCACGCGAGCUGGGUUCAGAACGUCGUGAGACAGUUCGGUCCCUAUCCGUCGCGGGCGUAGGAAAUUUGAGAGGAGCUGUCCUUAGUACGAGAGGACCGGGAUGGACUGACCUCUGGUGCACCAGUUGUUCUGCCAAGAGCAUGGCUGGGUAGCUAAGUCGGGAAGGGAUAAACGCUGAAAGCAUCUAAGCGUGAAGCCUCCCUCAAGAUGAGAUUUCCCAUAGCAUAAGCUAGUAAGACCCCUUGAAGAACACGAGGUUGAUAGGUCAGAGGUGUAAGUGUGGUAACAUAUUUAGCUGACUGAUACUAAUAGGUCGAGGGCUUGACCG